AGCUCUCUCUCUCUCUGUCUCUUCUCCCCUCCUCUGCAGUGGAAAUCAGCCUUCGUGUGAGAGAUGAGCUGCAGGUGUGCGUGUUCUGCUGUUUGCUCCUGUGAUAUGAUUGCUGCAUGCUGAUUGGCUGGCUGAGGACUACUCAAACCACCUGAUGCCAUCCUCCGACCCCCUUCUGGCCUUACCACUUCCAACCAUCAGUCCAUGUCGUCAGUGUGAAGUAUUUUUGUUUAGCCUUGUGAUUAGGAAGAUAAUUUUACUUUAAGAUUUAGUGGCAGACGUAGGAGGGAGAAGCUAUUUUGUUUUCUAUCUUGUUUUUCUCCUGUUUCUUGGUUUUCUGUUGUCUUUUGUUUUACUUUUAUUUUACUAUAGGUAAGUUUGGUCCUUGAUUUAGCUGUUCUGUUUUUUUGUGUUGGCAUCGCUCCUCUCUGAAGUGAAUAAAAUCUGCCUUUUCUGUGAAUCUAAAAACUCUUCAUUGGCUGGUUCUUGGGAGUGGGAAGAGCGGGG
rnacentral:lncRNA from 1 species